rnacentral:rRNA from 1 species
GUCGAACGCACUCUCGUUUAGAUUGAAGGAGCUUGCUCCUGAUUGAUAAACAUUUGAGUGAGUGGCGGACGGGUGAGUAACACGUGGGUAACCUGCCCUAAAGUGGGGGAUAACAUUUGGAAACAGAUGCUAAUACCGCAUAAAACCUAACACCGCAUGGUGUAGGGUUGAAAGAUGGUUUCGGCUAUCACUUUAGGAUGGACCCGCGGUGCAUUAGUUAGUUGGUGAGGUAAAGGCUCACCAAGACCGUGAUGCAUAGCCGACCUGAGAGGGUAAUCGGCCACACUGGGACUGAGACACGGCCCAGACUCCUACGGGAGGCAGCAGUAGGGAAUCUUCCACAAUGGACGAAAGUCUGAUGGAGCAACGCCGCGUGAGUGAAGAAGGUUUUCGGAUCGUAAAACUCUGUUGUUGGAGAAGAAUGUAUCUGAUAGUAACUGAUCAGGUAGUGACGGUAUCCAACCAGAAAGCCACGGCUAACUACGUGCCAGCAGCCGCGGUAAUACGUAGGUGGCAAGCGUUGUCCGGAUUUAUUGGGCGUAAAGCGAGCGCAGGCGGUUUCUUAAGUCUGAUGUGAAAGCCUUCGGCUCAACCGAAGAAGUGCAUCGGAAACUGGGAAACUUGAGUGCAGAAGAGGACAGUGGAACUCCAUGUGUAGCGGUGAAAUGCGUAGAUAUAUGGAAGAACACCAGUGGCGAAGGCGGCUGUCUGGU